CAGCAGCCGCGGUAAUACAGAGGGUGCAAGCGUUAAUCGGAAUUACUGGGCGUAAAGCGCGCGUAGGUGGUUUGUUAAGUUGGAUGUGAAAGCCCCGGGCUCAACCUGGGAACUGCAUCCAAAACUGGCAAGCUAGAGUACGGUAGAGGGUGGUGGAAUUUCCUGUGUAGCGGUGAAAUGCGUAGAUAUAGGAAGGAACACCAGUGGCGAAGGCGACCACCUGGACUGAUACUGACACUGAGGUGCGAAAGCGUGGGGAGCAAACAGGAUUAGAUACCCCUGUAGUCCCUGUCUCUUAUAU
rnacentral:rRNA from 1 species